rnacentral:rRNA from 1 species
CCUACGGGUGGCAGCAGUGAGGAAUAUUGGUCAAUGGCCGAGAGGCUGAACCAGCCAAGUCGCGUGAGGGAAGACGGCCCUACGGGUUGUAAACCUCUUUUGUCGGGGAGCAAAGCGAACCACGUGUGGUUCAUUGAGAGUACCCGAAGAAAAAGCAUCGGCUAACUCCGUGCCAGCAGCCGCGGUAAUACGGAGGAUGCGAGCGUUAUCCGGAUUUAUUGGGUUUAAGGGGUGCGCAGGCGGAGGUGCAAGUCAGCGGUCAAAUUGCGGGGCUCAACCCCGUACUGCCGUUGAAACUGCAUCCCUUGAGUGCGCGAGAAGUAUGCGGAAUGCGUGGUGUAGCGGUGAAAUGCUUAGAUAUUGCGCAGAACUCCGAUUGCGAAGGCAGCAUACCGGCGGCGAUCUGACGCUGAGGCACGAAAGCGUGGGUAUCGAACAGGAUUAGAUACCCUUGUAGUC